AUUGAACGCUGGCGGCAGGCCUAACACAUGCGAGUCGAGCGGAUGAAGGGAGCUUGCUCCUGGAUUCAGCGGCGGACGGGUGAGUAAUGCCUAGGAAUCUGCCUGGUAGUGGGGGAUAACGUCCGGAAACGGGCGCUAAUACCGCAUACGUCCUGAGGGAGAAAGUGGGGGAUCUUCGGACCUCACGCUAUCAGAUGAGCCUAGGUCGGAUUAGCUAGUUGGUGGGGUAAAGGCCUACCAAGGCGACGAUCCGUAACUGGUCUGAGAGGAUGAUCAGUCACACUGGAACUGGGACACGGUCCAGGCUCCUACGGGAGGCAGCAGUGGGGAAUAUUGGGCAGUGGGCGAAAGCCUGAUCCAGCCAUGCCGCGUGUGUGAAGAAGGUCUUCGGAUUGUAAAGCACUUUAAGUUGGGAGGAAGGGCAGUAAGUUAAUACCUUGCUGUUUUGACGUUACCAACAGAAUAAGCACCGGCUAACUUCGUG
rnacentral:rRNA from 1 species